GACGAACGCUGGCGGCGUGCUUAACACAUGCAAGUCGAACGGAAAGGCCCUGCUUUUGUGGGGUGCUCGAGUGGCGAACGGGUGAGUAACACGUGAGUAACCUGCCCUUGACUUUGGGAUAACUUUAGGAAACUGGGGCUAAUACCGGAUAGGAGCUCCUGCUGCAUGGUGGGGGUUGGAAAGUUUCGGCGGUUGGGGAUGGUAUCGCGGCUUAUCAGCUUGUUGGUGGGGUAGUGGCUUACCAAGGCUUUGACGGGUAGCCGGCCUGAGAGGGUGACCGGCCACAUUGGGACUGAGAUACGGCCCAGACUCCUACGGGAGGCAGCAGUGGGGAAUAUUGCACAAUGGGCGGAAGCCUGAUGCAGCAACGCCGCGUGCGGGAUGAAGGCCUUCGGGUUGUAAACCGCUUUCGCCUGUGACGAAGCGUGAGUGACGGUAAUGGGUAAAGAAGCACCGGCUAACUACGUG
rnacentral:rRNA from 1 species